GCCUUCGUGGUGUAGCGGUCAGCAUGCUCGACGCGUAACCGAGAGGUCAGUGGUUCGAUUCCCGGCGAAGGCA
rnacentral:tRNA from 1 species